rnacentral:lncRNA from 1 species
GGGAAGUCUAUGCAGUCACCAAACCAACGAUUACCAUAAGUUCGUAUCAUUACAUGAAUUUAACUUAACAUUCCAAAAUCCUAAACAUGAGGGAUCCUUUAACUUACACAAAAUCCACAGGUUUAGAUUCAUCGUCAACAUUUCAUUAGAUGCAGAGUGGCUUAUACAACAAAUACAUAUACGCUAACACAGAAAUGCCCAAAAUCUUCUAACUUUCCACUGCCUCUGCCCAAUCUUAACAUUUAAGCAAGCGAUACGCUAUCCUGAAAAAUUUAUCAACAAACGGGGUGAGCAUAUAGAGCUCAGCAAGUGACUAACAUAUCCAUAUCAAAAUAGGACAAUUUCCAAAGAUAUAAAGUUUCAUAAUACGAGGCAGAAUAUACGAAUUCAUAGACAUAAUAUCAUUAGGUGCAGAAUCACAAUUGUCCUUUCAAUCAUACAUAUUUGGUUCAUAACAUACGGGGCAUAGAGUAAUUGGAGCAUAUCAGAAACGAAUGAAACGUUUUGGAGCAUAACAAUAACAAAUGAAACAUAUCGGAGCUUAUCAAUGGCAUAUGAAAUGUUCCGGAGCAUAUCAACAGCGUAUGGAACAUUUCAAAGCAUAACAACAAUGAAUGAAAUAUUUCAGAGCUUAUAAAUAUCACAUACCAAACAGAAGCUCAAACGUCGUCUUUGACGUUGCAUUCAUAUCAUUUUUAUCCAAAGCAUAUACAAAAACACAUAACCAAAGCUCUGGAUAUCAUAUCAAACAUACAGAAGGUGUAGUGGGACCUCAAACAGAACGUGAUACAUCCAUUUCUGAAUGACCACCAGACAGAAGUCUCCCACGUCUGGGAGCUCCAUCCACCCACGUCUAGGUGAAGUCAGAAGGGGCCGGCAGAGCAUCGCAGGCUCUAAGCACAUACCCUUUACCAUUUCUGGCAAAGGUCUAGACAGUCCCACAAUCACUAGAGUACAAAAGGGUAAUUUAACAAUAAGUAGCAUAUAUCGGAAGCACACGCGGAACAACAAAAACAUACAUGUGCCUUUUCGAGACAAUACGAUGCAAGGAACAAAGCUCUCACACAUGUAUUCAGAUUUGAAAUGAAAUGAAAGCCAGAGUAUAUAGGGAUUCCAAGCAAUUAUAUUUGGCUCAAUUCAAAUAAGAAGAUUAGAUGAAUUCAAUAUCCAAAGGAACGAAACAGAAUACGCGAAAUCGACCAAAGCUCGAUUUCUGACAGAAUUCCAAUAGCACAUAGAACAAAUAUUUCAGAUUAUCAAUUAUGCUCCAAUACCCAUAAGAAAACUACUGUUGAAAGAUAUAUCAAUCUGUUUUCUGUCGAAACAAGUUUCGUACGAAUCAGGGUUUCCCACAAGGAGUUACCUUUGAUUUGGUAACACAAGGUCAAGGACACAAUCACUGUUUUGCAGAAUACAUAGGGUCGGAUUCAACAGAUAAUAGGGUAGGCAUUUGAAUUCCAAAAUUUUCAAACUAUAUGUCAAAAGAAAGGUCUGCAAGUCUAAUUUCGGACGAAGUCAGUUUGGUACAAAUCAGAAUUUUCAACAGAGAGUUAUAGGCAUUUUAGUAUCGAAAGGUCAGAAAUCUUGAUCCCUGUUUUGCAGCAUCUAUAGGCUCAUUUGAAACAGAUGAUUGGGUAAGUAUUCGGUGUCCAAAAUCUACAAAAUCAGUGUCAAAAGAAAGUUAUAAAAGUCUAAUUUUAAACAAAAUAGUUCCUGCCUGAAUUCACAGUUUGUACUAAAAAUUAUAGCUGAAACAGUGUAUAGGGGUNNNNNNNNNNNNNNNNNNNNUUUCUUUCCCUGAUCAUCCACGCAGCUGCCUUCUCUGCUUCCUUAAGAACGAAGGCAGAGAGGCUUAAGCGGUGAGAUUUGUCAUUUUGUGCGUUUUGCAGUUUAGUCCUUGUUUUUAUCAUAUUCACGAUUAGGUCCUUAGGGUUUACAUAUAGGUCCUCAGAUUCUUUCUUCUUUUUUUUUUGAACAGAUCUCCCAAAUCUUAAAAAUAAGUUACCUCUGAUUCAUACUCUAUUUCUUUUGUCAAUUUAAAAUAGAUGCUUACAUUAUCACCAGAAAUUUAUACGAAAAUUC